AUGUUGCUGUGGAAAUUUGAGCGUGAUGGUAUUGUUUGCUGCCAUAUCCUCAGACUGUUUACACAGUUUGACAUUACCCAUAUUCCAGAUAAAUUUAUUGUUGACAGGUGGACUAUUUCUUUUUGGGAAAAGGAACUAGAGAACUUCAAGAAAGAUAAUGUGCUAUUUGGAGGUGAUGAUCAGUCACACAAUGUUGUUAGGUAUGCUAUCCUGAUGAGUAAAGUUGGGGAAGCUUGCCCGGACAUCAGCAUAGAUUCCGAGCUUAGUAAAGAACUCCUUGAUGUUGUUGCUCAAGUUGAUGGCAAGUAUUUGCAGGGAAAGAAACAUCAAGAGAAAGUGCAAACUGAGAAUUCAUUGAAAGAUCCUCCUGUACGGUCAUCAAAGUCUGUCAACAAAGGAGAAAGAUUGAAACCACAAUCUGAAAAGAAAUCUAGGAAGAAAUCUGCUGGAAAGAAGAAGACUUGGUUGAAGAUUCACACUGGAAAUGAAUCAUUUUUGGUCCUGCAGAAAGGGAGAAAAAAAUAA
rnacentral:rRNA from 1 species